CGACGCCAAUGGUAAGCUCACGUGAAUUUUAUUUUCCAAGUGACGUCAUAAUGGCUGCCAAGUGGUGGCUAAAGCUGUGUUUAGUUUUGUGCAGUUUACGAGAUGGUGGGUAGUCUAUAGCUCUAAGAAGCAAAUUCAAACUUGAAGCAAAAAGGUAUAGAAUCAAUUGGUUAGUUUUCAGUCUGAAAUGUAAGUAUAUUUUGCUUGUUAUUGUCGCUGUUUGGAAAAUGGUGUACACUAUCUAGGUAUAUAAUAGUACUGGGACUGGCCAGAACAGCUCAGAAUUAGAUUCCACACUCAGGAUCAUUAAUCAAGUCAUUUUACCUCAAUAGAAUUGUUUGAAAUCCUUUUAGAGCUAGAUUUUAUACUUGUCAUCAUAGUCAUAUUAUGUGCCAUUGACUUUCAGAGACCACAGCAUCCUUAUUUCUUGCUGGAACAACUUUAAACUUCUGGAGUAUAUUCUUCUAGCUACUAUCUUGUUGUAAGCAAAUGGACAAGAAGCU